GUAAAACCUCUAGAAUCUGUGCCUUUUUCCUGAGGAAUGGGGACAUGGCGUCUAGAGAGCGGCAAGAUGACUGGGCACGGGAAGAUCGCUGUUUCCCCUAUAGGAAUAAGCACAGCACAUUGUCCUAGAGGAAGGGAGCCAGAAAGCCUCUCUAAAUCCUCUGCUUGAGGGUCAGACAGAACCUGGAGCGGUUGCAGCUAGACGCAGAGAGCAAAACACUCAUUAACAGGCAGCCCAGAAGCAUUCUCCUUCCUCUUGGGAAGCCUAUCAAGAAGCUCCUGAAUGACGAGCGGCUCAGGUACACCUCCAGCCAGAAGACGGAUGUCUUCUUCCACCUCGGACGUCAUUCUCUGUAAAAUGGAAAAGGAG